rnacentral:rRNA from 1 species
UACGUAGGGUGCAAGCGUUGUCCGGAAUUAUUGGGCGUAAAGAGCUCGUAGGCGGUCUGUCGCGUCGGCUGUGAAAACCCGGAGCUCAACUCCGGGCCUGCAGUCGAUACGGGCAGACGUGGAGUUCGGCAGGGGAGACUGGAAUUCCUGGUGUAGCGGGUGAAAUGCGCAGAUAUCAGGAGGAACACCGGUGGCGAAGGCGGGUCUCUGGGCCGAUACUGACGCUGAGGAGCGAAAGCGUGGGGAGCGAACAGG